UGAGAAGCAGAACCCAUUUGCCCUGUGUCGU
rnacentral:piRNA from 1 species